UGGAGUCAGCUCUUGUCCAGACAAUCUCAGCAGAGCACCAGAAAGGCAGCUGGUUGCACUGGUCGCUGACAUGAAGCUGAACCACAGGUUCAUUACAGCUGCUGGUAAUUUUGUAUUGGAAGGGAAAUGAAAAGAAACACAGAAAAUAAAGAACCAGCCAGGCAGGCCUUUCAAAGUGCCAGAGGAUCACACAUUCAUCCUGUCAUUAUUAACAGCACAUUGAUGGUAAAUUGGGCUCAGACUUGGAGUUGGGACUUGCUUUCCAUGAAAAGGCUGCCAUAACGCAAAUAAGACAGAGACAGACCAUCUCUGACAAAUCAAAGCAAGGAUGGAAGGUGUGAUUCCCCAUGAGGUCUCUGGUCCAGCAAAUGCACCAUCCUGCUGAACAAGGGAUAAUAAGCUGAAUACAUUAGCAUUUGAUCCACCUCCACCUCCCCUGUUUAAAGAUACAUUCUACUGCUACUUUCCUCCAAAUAUUUGAAGAACAGAAGUGAGACAAAACAGUGAUAUAAUAAAAAUGCUUGGUUAAGCCU